UACGUAGGGCGCGAGCGUUGUCCGGAAUUAUUGGGCGUAAAGAGCUCGUAGGCGGUUCGGUAAGUCGGGUGUGAAAACUCUGGGCUCAACUCGGAGAGGCCACCCGAUACUGCCGUGACUUGAGUCCGGUAGGGGAGCACGGAAUUCCUGGUGUAGCGGUGAAAUGCGCAGAUAUCAGGAGGAACACCGGUGGCGAAGGCGGCAUCCUGGACCGGCAUUGACG
rnacentral:rRNA from 1 species